GGUUAAGUUAGAAAGGGCGCACGGUGAAUGCCUUGGCACUAGGAGCCGAUGAAGGACGGGACUAACACCGAUAUGCUUCGGGGAGCUGUAAGUGAGCUUUGAUCCGGAGAUUUCCGAAUGGGGAAACCCACUGUUCGUAAUGGAACAGUAUCUUUAUCUGAAUACAUAGGAUAUUGAAGGCAGACCCGGGGAACUGAAACAUCUAAGUACCCGGAGGAAGAGAAAGCAAAUGCGAUUUCCUGAGUAGCGGCGAGCGAAACGGAAUUAGCCCCAAACCAAGAGGCUUGCCUCUUGGGGUUGUAGGACACUCUAUACGGAGUUACAAAGGAACGAAGUAAAUGAAGCGACCUGGAAAGGUCCGUCGAAGAAGGUAACAACCCUGUAGUUGAAACUUCGUUCCCUCUUGAGUGGAUCCUGAGUACGGCGGAACACGUGAAAUUCCGUCGGAAGCUGGGAGGACCAUCUCCCAAGGCUAAAUACUACCUAGUGACCGAUAGUGAACCAGUACCGUGAGGGAAAGGUGAAAAGCACCCCGGAAGGGGAGUGAAAGAGAUCCUGAAACCGUGUGCCUACAAGUAGUCAGAGCCCGUUAACGGGUGAUGGCGUGCCUUUUGUAGAAUGAACCGGCGAGUUACGAUCCCAUGCAAGGUUAAGCUGAUAAGGCGGAGCCGUAGCGAAAGCGAGUCUGAAUAGGGCGUUUAGUAUGUGGUUGUAGACCCGAAACCAGGUGAUCUACCCAUGUCCAGGGUGAAGUUCAGGUAACACUGAAUGGAGGCCCGAACCCACGCACGUUGAAAAGUGCGGGGAUGAGGUGUGGGUAGCGGAGAAAUUCCAAUCGAACCUGGAGAUAGCUGGUUCUCUCCGAAAUAGCUUUAGGGCUAGCCUCAUGUUGUGAGAGUCUUGGAGGUAGAGCACUGAUUGGACUAGGGGCCCCCAACGGGUUACCGAAUUCAGUCAAACUCCGAAUGCCAAAGACUUAUCCAUGGGAGUCAGACUGCGAGUGAUAAGAUCCGUAGUCAAAAGGGAAACAGCCCAGACCACCAGCUAAGGUCCCCAAGUAUACGUUAAGUGGAAAAGGAUGUGGAGUUGCUUAGACAACCAGGAUGUUGGCUUAGAAGCAGCCACCAUUUAAAGAGUGCGUAAUAGCUCACUGGUCGAGUGACUCUGCGCCGAAAAUGUACCGGGGCUAAACGUAUCACCGAAGCUGUGGAUUGACAUCUUUGAUGUCAGUGGUAGGAGAGCGUUCUAAGUGCAGCGAAGUCAGACCGUAAGGACUGGUGGAGCGCUUAGAAGUGAGAAUGCCGGUAUGAGUAGCGAAAGACAAGUGAGAAUCUUGUCCACCGAAUGCCUAAGGUUUCCUGAGGAAGGCUCGUCCGCUCAGGGUUAGUCGGGACCUAAGCCGAGGCUGAAAAGCGUAGGCGAUGGCCAACAGGUUGAUAUUCCUGUACCACCUCCCCGCCGUUUGAGUAAUGGGGGGACGCAGUAGGAUAGGGUAAGCGCGCUGCUGGAUAUGCGCGUUCAAGCAGUUAGGCUGAUGAGUAGGCAAAUCCGCUCAUCAUGAAGGCUGAGCUGUGAUGACGAGGGAAUUAUAGUACCGAAGUUCCUGAUUCCACACUGCCAAGAAAAGCCUCUAGCGAGGCGGGAGGUGCCCGUACCGCAAACCGACACAGGUAGGCGAGGAGAGAAUCCUAAGGUGAUCGAGAGAACUCUCGUUAAGGAACUCGGCAAAAUGACCCCGUAACUUCGGGAGAAGGGGUGCUCUGGUAGGGUGUAUAGCCCGAGAGAGCCGCAGUGAAUAGGCCCAGGCGACUGUUUAGCAAAAACACAGGUCUCUGCGAAGCCGCAAGGCGAAGUAUAGGGGCUGACGCCUGCCCGGUGCUGGAAGGUUAAGAGGAGGGGUUAUCCUUCGGGAGAAGCUCUGAAUCGAAGCCCCAGUAAACGGCGGCCGUAACUAUAACGGUCCUAAGGUAGCGAAAUUCCUUGUCGGGUAAGUUCCGACCCGCACGAAAGGCGUAACGAUCUGGGCACUGUCUCAACGAGAGACUCGGUGAAAUUAUAGUACCUGUGAAGAUGCAGGUUACCCGCGACAGGACGGAAAGACCCCGUGGAGCUUUACUGUAGCCUGAUAUUGAAUUUUGGUACAGCUUGUACAGGAUAGGUAGGAGCCUGAGAAGCCGGAGCGCUAGCUUCGGUGGAGGCGUCGGUGGGAUACUACCCUGGCUGUAUUGAAAUUCUAACCCGCGGCCCUGAUCGGGCCGGGAGACAGUGUCAGGUGGGCAGUUUGACUGGGGCGGUCGCCUCCUAAAAUGUAACGGAGGCGCCCAAAGGUUCCCUCAGAAUGGUUGGAAAUCAUUCGUAGAGUGUAAAGGCACAAGGGAGCUUGACUGCGAGACCUACAAGUCGAGCAGGGACGAAAGUCGGGCUUAGUGAUCCGGUGGUUCCGCAUGGAAGGGCCAUCGCUCAACGGAUAAAAGCUACCCCGGGGAUAACAGGCUUAUCUCCCCCAAGAGUCCACAUCGACGGGGAGGUUUGGCACCUCGAUGUCGGCUCAUCGCAUCCUGGGGCUGUAGUCGGUCCCAAGGGUUGGGCUGUUCGCCCAUUAAAGCGGUACGCGAGCUGGGUUCAGAACGUCGUGAGACAGUUCGGUCCCUAUCCGUCGUGGGCGUAGGAAAUUUGAGAGGAGCUGUCCUUAGUACGAGAGGACCGGGAUGGACACACCGCUGGUGUACCAGUUGUCUUGCCAAAGGCAUCGCUGGGUAGCUAUGUGUGGACGGGAUAAGUGCUGAAAGCAUCUAAGCAUGAAGCCCCCCUCAAGAUGAGAUUUCCCAUAGCGCAAGCUAGUAAGAUCCCUGAAAGAUGAUCAGGUUGAUAGGUCAGAGGUGGAAGCGUGGCGACAUGUGUAGCUGACUGAUACUAAUCGAUCGAGGACUUAACCAA
rnacentral:rRNA from 1 species